rnacentral:tRNA from 1 species
CGCGCCUUAGCCGGUCGGCGUCGAGCACGGCCACCUCCAGGGUGGCCAGGGGUGGGUUGAGCACCACGGUCGUGA